CCAAGGGUUGAGCGGUUAGCCCAUUAAAGCGGUACGCGAGCUGGGUUCAGAACGUCGUGAGACAGUUCGGUCCCUAUCCGUCGCGGGCGUAGGAAAUUUGAGAGGACCUGUCCUUAGUACGAGAGGACCGGGAUGGACAUACCUCUGGUGUACCAGUUGUGCCGCCAGGCGCAUCGCUGGGUAGCUACGUAUGGAUGUGAUAAACGCUGAAAGCAUCUAAGUGUGAAACACACCUCGAGAUGAGAUUUCCCAUUCCUUUAUGGAAGUAAGACCCCUGAAAGAUGAUCAGGUAGAUAGGUUAGAAGUGGCAGUGCGGUGACGCAUGAAGCGGACUAAUACUAAUCGGUCGAGGACUUAACCAAG
rnacentral:rRNA from 2 species